CAUCUGUCCAUAAGUUGUCAAGUAUGGCAUUGGAGGGUCACCUGCAGUUGACCAUGCCGCUUCGCCUAAAGAGUAUGGAAAUCCAAUGGAUGGAGCAUAAUAACUAGGCAUAUAUGGGUCUGACAUUGGUGGAUAGCUGUUACUCUGAUUUGUCUGACUACUUAGAUAUGGCUCAAAAUCAUCAUCAUUUACUGCAUCCUUCUGAUGAAUCGAACCGUUCUGUACUGAAACUUUAUUUCCCUGUCCUUUAGGUCUCUGGUCGACGCUGGUGGCUGACAUUCUUCACGGGGAGCCGCGAUCCCCUCGCUCCGCCUAGGCCUCGAGUGAUUCCGCACGCCGGGGCCGCUCUCGCCCGCCCGCCCGCCGCGCCGCUCGCCUCCGCCUCCUCCUCCCCGCCGCCGCCUGAUUGUCGCCGCCGCCUGGGUUCGCCGCCGCCGCCGCCGAUCGGACUGCCGCUGGAAGGAGCCGGCCGGCCGCACGCAGCGCCGCUUCCCCCCCCUGCUCCGGGCUCCGCUUCCCCACAAUGGCGGACGAGCUCCGGCUCCCACUUCCGCUCCGCGGCGCCCUGACCUUCCGCUCCCCCUCCGCCGGCGUCGCCGCUGACCUUUCCCUUCCCGUCCCCGCCUCCAUGUCACGUGGGGGUGAAAAUGGGCCCGCGCGCGCCCGCUGCCAGCGACUCAAAUGGCGCGGGGGCGGGGCGAGCGCGGCGCGGGGCGGGAGCGCGCAUGCGCACCACGCGGCUCAGGCGGAAGGGCCCGGCGCCGUUCCCCCCACGCUCCGUCGGUCUCCUAGCGCGCACGCUCCGCAGGGACAACUGAGGAAUGCUCGGGGAGGGAGGCGAUGAGCGUUAGCCUGCCACGCUCCACUACGCGUGUGCGGCGCGCUGAAGUGGGGCGCCGGCUGGGCAGUGCGCAUGCGCGCGGGUAGCUGUGGCGUUGGGUCCGAGGUUGUUCGGGCUGUGGUGGCGGAGCGGUUGCGUCCGUGCUGCGCUCGCUCCACGUGGGGCUGCGGAGGCCGUUAGCGCCCUUCUGACGGGCGGGCCCUCGGCUGCGGGCGGCAGCGGGCCUUCGGCCGCCAAGGGGCCUUCAGCCGCCAAAGGGGCUUCAGCUGCGCCGUGUUCUGUGGAGGGCUGCGGUGAUCCCUGCAGCAGGGCCGUCGUGCUGCUACGGAGAUCAGUGCUUUGAUAGAACGGAGCGCGAGAACGGCUGAAGUGGUUUCUCACGUUGGUGUGUCCGUGCGUUGUUAUGUGUGCAGCUGCUUUCACCUUCGUCGUUAAUAAAUGGCACAGGACAAAAUCGGUGUAAUAAACACAAGUUCAGCAAGUGUACGGGGUUCCAACAGCACGCAGCAUUCAAUAAAAGACAACGAUGGGAGAAGUGCAUGUACUUGAACCUGAGAAACAACAUCAUGUAUAUGCUGGUUAGGCUUCUGAAGAGAGAAUGCCUCAUACGCUGUGCUGUGUGGUGUAAGCGUGAAUGGUCUGGGUGGGCAAGGAAGGAGUUGCAUCAUUGCAGCCGUUCAGUCUGAGUCCCCUUUCCUGCCCUGUAUGUGUUUUUUCUUUACUAAGAAAUGUAUGUUUUGUAUAUAUGUUUUUGGCCAUUACUCAAAACUGAUCCUGGGAAAUAACUGAGCUGGGAUAUUCUUGCCAAAAAGUGAAUGUUGUACUGGAAGUUACAAAAAACUGGAGUCCAAUGGGAAUCAGUAAGGAUGAUGAAAGAUCCAAGUAAUAGGCACUGAAAGGAAACAUAGCAAGAAAUGGCCUUAGCUGGACUAUAAAAAGAGAAGAAUGAGGAUUGAUGUGAAGACAGUCAUGGAGUAUUUUUAUGUAUGAAAAAAACAAAUUAUCUGCAUUUGUUGAAAUAUCACAAAACACAAUGGAUUUAAACUGCAGUUUUGAGGUUGAUCUUCUCUUAUGACACCUUAAAACGCUGUCAAAGCAAAUAAGACUGUGCCGCUGCCUCUGUAGCGCUGCAGUUACUAAGCAGGUGGGACCCUUGCAUUCAGUCUUUAAGGUCAUGUUCAUCCCUUGUUUUUCUACUCCAUUGGUUGCUGUGGCACGAAUGGUUUACAUACAGAAAAGAAAGAUUCAGUGCAGGAGAAGUAGAAGUAAGCAUAGAGCAUGGGCACUUAGGUGGAAAUAACAACAGUUCUCAGAAUUUUAUUCUGAGACUUAGGAAGUGUAUUUUUUUAACCUUCUGUCUUUGGAAUCAUAAAAUGACAUUAAAAUGCCCAUUUAAGAAAUGAUUUUAGCCCUCCCGAUAGGCAAAGUUUUGCAAGUAAAUAGCCAAGAAUUUGGAAACAGGUGUCAGGGAAAGGAGAGCUCAGAUUUAUUAUUUCCAAACAUCUCAUUGCUUUUGGCCUUGUCAUUGGUUUUUUGAAGCUGACGGAGGUUGAAUAUUCAGAGUUUUAAACAUUGUUCCCCUCAGACAACUAAUGUGUUGCCUUUGAGGAAGUACUGGCCCCCAGUGACUCAAUACCAUCUAUUCAGCUGAAUUUGCAAUGUAAUCAUGGAAUAAAUAAAACCAGCAGUAAUUUAGAAUUCAAUUUGCAGUGGUCGCUACGAUUUGUGUGACAAAAAUCCAACACGCUGCAACCAUUUUCAUUUUUUAGUAAGAUAUUAAUAUCUGUACUGGGAAGUGAUUCUGCGUUGUUCCUCCUUGUCUGUACUGUUAGGAAUGUGGUGGAGUGAAAACUGUCCUUAAAGAGAGUACAAGUUCAGCAGGAUUCCAGUCUGCAUUGCAAGCUUUACAGAGUCUCAGCCUCAAACGAACCUUUUUGAUGGGGAAUAAUGCACCACUCCGAGGACUUGCUGGAAUGCUCUGUGGCAAUUAGUUCUGUAAUACUAUAGUUUAAGUUCCUGCAUUAUGAGCCUCUAGAGACUUUGGAGGUAUAUAUGGUUCAUUUUUCAAAAUGCUUUUAGGCCCUUUUUUUUCAAUCCCUAAUUCUCCAUUUUCUAAUAAUUAUCUGUGGGAAAAUUGCUUGUGAUCUUAACAGUAAUAGUUUGAUUCCACAACCCUUUGCCAUCAGAUUACUGUAUAGGAGAUUUGCACGGGUACAAUUGCAAGGGUAAUGAUUUGCAGAGUUGUUGCAGAUGGAGCUGUACUCUAAACCACUGUACUGGCAAUUCCCUCACUGGACUUGAUCUGAUGGGGAGUGCCAACCAACAGCAGCAUUCACUUCAGGACAGGAUUCCAAUUCCUCAUGGUUAUUUGAGGCACAUACUGAAUGGAUGUGUUCUUAUGGCUGUGAAAAGGUCUUACGACCCUUCUAGACUACCAUGGAGCUCAGGGAAAGGUCAAUGCCCAUCGUUUAACCAUGGAAUUAUUAGGUUGGUAUCAAAGUCUUCCCUGUUGCAUUCAACAAGACUUUUUGGAUUUUUCCAUUCUGCUUUCAGAGUAGUGAUUGUGCCAACUUAAUAGCAAACUUAAAGGGUAAAAGGAUGGCUGAGUUUACCCUUUUGAGAAACAUUUUUCUCUUCAGUUUUACUGGACAAGACCAGAAGAAGAACGUAUGCAUUUUAAAAACUAGGGAAAGCAAUAUGGCAAUACCUCCUUCAAAAUCAGAUAAGACACAAGUUCUUAAGUUCUUAGAAAAUGUACUAAGGAUUCUUUUCUUAGCACAUAAAGACCAAGUCCAAAUAACCAUUAUUUUCUCAAACAUCUCAGAGGCUCUCACUGGACUGUAAAACAUGUGCAGUAUGAAGUCUUGGCUACAGAUAGAAAGUGACCCUGAGAGUCUUACAAACUAAUAACAGCCAACUGACAAACUGUAAAUAACAUGGUGCCCGUGUUUUUCGGUAUAGUCCAAUAGCUCAAAAAGAUUGCAGAACUGCUUGUUACAGAAGUAGAAAAUGUACGCUACCAAUGGUUUUCUGUUUCUCCUGCCUAAAAUUAUAUUAAAAAAUAAUCUGUGAAUUAUGAUCUAGUAUUGGUGAAACACUAACUAAGGAAUAGGUUGAAGUAGGUGGACUCCGGCUGUUCCCACCAACCACAGUUACUGUAAUUCAAUGUGAUUGAGAGGGUCUGUGGGUGGUUCAUGAAGCUCAGGUGGGUCACUGCUGAGGAACAUGCCUUCAAAGUGUCUCAGUUAUCAGCACACCUCCAGGUGUGCCUUGGUGUUGCACCUCUGCUCCCUGCUCUCUGGUCCAGAGGCUGUUCAACUUCAGCAAUCAUGAGGGACUGUCACGCUGCAAGAGCCCAUAGCACUGCUAUGAGUGAGUGGAAAGCAAUGCUCGACUGCAAAUAACUAAACAAUUCCUCUGCAUGUGUGAGAUUUGAUAGUUCUGAGCUAUUAAAAAUAGGAGUAUAUUUAUUGUGUAUCAUUUAGGCAGUGGUAAUUAAGCAACUACAUACUCUGCAUCCUGUGUGAAAUACAAUCCUAUGCUGAAGGCCAGGGCAGGUCCCAGAUUCCAGCAAGCAUUCUUUUACAGGGUUUGAAUAGCUUGAGUGCUACGUUAUCAUCUAUGGGAUGGUGAAUUUCAACAUACGGAGCAGGCAUUCUGGAAAAUAUGCUCACCAUAAAAGAGUAAUAAUGUUGUACAAUAUGUUAACUGUUGUCAGUGCAUUUCCUUUUCUUGAGAAUGAGGAAAUACAGGCUUGUUCUUAUGAAAGAGUUCAAAGGAAAAGAUUGUAUGAAAGGACUGCAA
rnacentral:lncRNA from 1 species